UACAGAGGUCCCAAGCGUUGUUCGGAUUUACUGGGCGUAAAGGGAGCGUAGGUGGCAUUCUAAGUCUGAUGUGAAAGCUCUGAGCUUAACUCAGAAAUGGCAUUAGAAACUAGUUUGCUUGAGGAUUGGAGGGGAGAUUGGAAUUCUUGGUGUAGCAGUGAAAUGCGUAGAUAUCAAGAGGAACACCAGUGGCGAAGGCGAAUCUCUGGACAACUCCUGACGCUGAGGCACGAAGGUCAGGGGAGCAAACGGG
rnacentral:rRNA from 1 species